GGUUCUGUGUGUAUGUGUUUGUCACAUGUGACAGGAAAUUGUUAUGGAGAAUUCCGUCAACGCGCUUACCGUAUUACAGAGCAGGGAUUAGACGCGUUUGAGGUAUUGAUGAGACGAUCGUUGAAGGAAGUACACGCCUUGGUAGUGAUGGAGAUUAGGAAAAUUCUGAACAAGCUAAGUGGCUACGGUUAUGCGUACUUAGAAAAUGCGCGUUCACUGCUAGCCCCUUCAGAAGACAGUUGCCUUCUCCCAGUUACUAAAAGGCAAUAUUGUGCUCGCUCUUGUAUCUCUUCCUCUUGUGGGAAAUGUAAUCUACACGCAGUGCAUGCACAGAUGUGGUAGGCCCUACUGUUACAAAGAAGACUACUGUGGUGCAUUACCUGGUUAGGAAACAUCAAGACCAUAUCAAAGGAAAAAUGUGGAGAUCAUAAACAAGAGAAAUUGCUCAGCUACAGUUGCAGUUAAAUGCAUCAGCCUUUGCCAAGUUCUCUACUCAAGAAGCAAAUAACUGGAAAACAGAAGAUUAGACUUGUGUAGAACUUACCGUGGGCACGGACAAUAUCUUUUGAGGUGUCUACUCUAUGUGGCAGUGCAAAUACACAGUUACCCAGUCAGAUCAAGGAGCAUAUUUUAAUCAUUGUUGAUGGUUUUGGCAGCAAUGAGCUAGACGAUCCUCAGAAUGGGGAGUCACAGCUCUGCAGCAACUUCUGCUUGUUUCUCUCUCACUCUGCAAGUACACGAUCAGCAGUAUCAGUAUGAAUGCACAAGAACCCAUAUUGUAAUUUAUUUCUGACAAAUGAAAUGGUAAAAUUGUGAAACAGAACUGCUCGCAAGGGGAUGAAGUGUCAGUACUAGUGACACACAUGUCAAACUAAUUGCACAAUCCUAGGUUUUGGGACUAAUAAGUGAUUCUUUUCAUCCUGGCAUUUGACUGACCUGCCCUUCCUUUUUAACCUAUGCCAACAUCUUCCCAAGGAAGGAACUACCAGGUUGCUGCAUAAGUUCAUAGUGACUUUGUUUUUGUGUAUUCCGGCAUAACCAAAAGCGCUGGAACGAAGAUGAAGAACGCAAGAGAAGAGAAGGCGGUGAAAUGACAUGAGCCAAAAGUACGUGUCCAGGAUGUCACCAUGAUAGGAGCGGCAUCUAGCCGAAGUGAAUAUAAGUGCGGUUCCUGCCAGCCAAGGCAGACAUUAGUGUACAGAAUUCACAGUGUGUUAGCUCAGCCAAGCAGAGAGUGCUAUGAUAGCAGUUAUUAGUGAUCCACAAACUGUGUGUCGAACUUACAUGAACAUUAUACAUAGCAAAGGACUCGGAUUUAUGUUGCAUGUAAUCCAUCA